rnacentral:rRNA from 1 species
AGUGAACGCUGGCGGUAGGCCUAACACAUGCAAGUCGAACGGCAGCACAGUAAGAGCUUGCUCUUACGGGUGGCGAGUGGCGGACGGGUGAGGAAUACAUCGGAAUCUACUUUUUCGUGGGGGAUAACGUAGGGAAACUUACGCUAAUACCGCAUACGACCUACGGGUGAAAGCAGGGGAUCUUCGGACCUUGCGCGAUUGAAUGAGCCGAUGUCGGAUUAGCUAGUUGGCGGGGUAAAGGCCCACCAAGGCGACGAUCCGUAGCUGGUCUGAGGGGAUGAUCGGCCACACUAGAACUGAGACACGGUCCAGACUCCUGCGGGAGGCAGCAGUGGGGAAUAUUGGACAAUGGGCGGAAGCCUGACCCAGCCAUACCGCGUGUGUGAAGAAGGCCUUCGGGUUGUAAAGCCCUUUUGUUGGGAAAGAAAAGCAGCAGGUUAAUACCCCGCUGUCCUGACGGUACCCAAAGAAUAAGCACCGGCUAACUUCGUG